ensembl:lncRNA
UUAUGUAAGCUCUUUAUUUUACAGAUAAGAAAACUGAGACACAAGAAUUUCCCUAAGAUUGUACAGGGAGUAGGGCCAGAUGCUUAUGGGACAUCCAGUCUUUUACUUAAUAAAUAUGUAUUAGGUGCAUACUAUAUGCCAGAACUGAACACUUGGGAAGUAAAGACAGAAAUGAAACAGCCCUCUUUAUCCUCAAGAAGAUUUCAUUCUACUGAGGGCAAACAAUGGGUACACAUUAACAGAUAUGUAAAUACAAAAUAAUUUGAGGGGUUCAGAGAUGAGUACUGACAACUGGAAGAGUCGAGAAAAACCUUGUGUAGGAGAUGACACUUGAACUGAGUCUUGAAGAGAAUUGCUGUUGGCUCAGAGACGACAUGGACUGCCUGUGAGUUGGAUAAAAUCCUUAGCCUUAGUCUCCCUUCCAGAGUGACAAGACAAAAGUCAGGAUGACUGGCAAUGGCCCAGCAGGUGACCUUGGGGUCUUUGAUGUCUGAUCAGAUGCUUCUGCUUAGGCCACCUUCAUGGGGGUUGGAACCAUUUGUGUUCAGCCUCCCUUUAUGCUGGGGAAGGAUCCCGGGAGGCAGAGAUAAGGAAGAAAGCAUUCUGGGCCAGGAGACAGACUGCAAAGGCCUGGGGGCAGGGGAUGGACAAAGACAAAUAGGCCAGAGGAAGCUGAGGCUCCUAGACGGUCUCAUGCAAGCCAAGACUACAGGGCUACUAUUGUAAGAAGAGCCAGGAGUCCUCUACCCCUCCUCUGCCAUUCUGUCCCCAUCCCAGCCCCCAGAUCCUCUGACUGAACCAACCCCAAACCCUGCACUCUUUCCACUUUGCCACCAUUUGUCACAAACAUCUCUGGUUGGGUGCUUCAAUGGGUAGCUCUACAUACCCUGUAAACUCAUAGUAAAAAAAAAUGCCAAGAAUAAGAUCUCUGUGAUCCUAGCUUCUCCAAGUCCCCAUUCUGCUCUAAACAAAAAUUAAUAGCAGUGAGGAAGGACAAGCCCUGGCGCCCACAAGACAGUUCUGGUCCAGGUCACCCCAGGGGUCUCGUGUGAAGCAGCAUUCUAAUCAUUUAUUCAGCAAGUAUUCAGAGUGUCUCCUAUGGGGAGGGAGGCCCUUGGGCCUUAGGGAUAAGGAGAAAUAAGAUACCUGUCCUACCCUCAAACAACUUGUAAUAGAUUCAAAAUAGGUUCAAGGUCUCUUCUUCUGCACCAAACUACUUCUUGAAUUCCUUGGUGGGUGUUUUGUGACUUCCCACAAAGGAUGGCCAAGAGCAAAGGGAAGGACUCAGAAGGUAUAUGUGACUACCUUAUGACAGUACUGUUACCCCCCAAAGGCAUUGGCGGGUGCUAUGACUCAAGACUUGCAGCAGUUUGCAAAACAGGCUACUGUGCAAGACAGACAUGAGCAAGGUCAUGUGCCCAAGCCUCAUCUGGCUAUAAUGCUCUCCCACCAGACGGCAAGUCAGCUCUGCAGCCAUCUCUGGCUUAUUAGCUCCAGUCCAGAAUCUGGUGCCACUGGGCCUUGCGGAGUAUUUGCAGGCAAAACCAGAAGGCAGGAGGCUGGUGCCCACAUCAAGAUUAUUGACGUCAGCUGUUGCCUGCCUGCCCCGAUCAGGUGCCCUGCUUUUCAGAUUGUGAUUGGUAACUCACACCCUCUCCACACACAGAAUCACCAUCCCUCCACCUUUUGGUAGGCAGCCUUCAUGAGCUGCUAUGGAGUGUGAUAUGGCGAUGACUCCACACUUAGCCAGUUUGUUCCUUGGACAACAGAAACAAUCAUUAGGUAUGGAGUUAAAGCCAUUCUAGCUUGAAAGACUGGCAGAGAAUGGAAUUCAUUGACUCAGCUUUUGACCAAGGUUUACUGUUCCACCAUGAUGGGGCCUUAGAGGAGGAGGACAUUAGUGGAGGACAAACCUGGAGCAAAAAUUAUGAUACUGUUGAAGUGUGUCCCGAUAAGGAAUAUCUUCUCCAUAAGUUUCUGUUCCGGAGACCUGCUGAGUAUGCACAUUUUUCUCCUUAUAGGAAAACAGGAGAAAUCAUUAUAAAUAGCUCACAAACUCACAACAUAGAGAGGAUGUGGCUCCUCUGAAAUCAUGUACAAAAGUAGAGCAGUGGGACAUCUUUGUCCAAAGAUUCAAUUAGUCCUUGGCUCUGGUGCUAAAGACUGCUGCUAACCAAUAUUUCUAGAGCUGGAAAAAGUAAAGAAACAGCAGCUUGAGCCAAUAGAAGUGUUCAGUAUGGCAGGGCUUUUUAAAUUUGUUCCACUGGUGACCCUUUUUCACCUGAAAAACUUUACAGGACCCCAGGCAUAUGGGUAUAUAAAAUAGGUAUAUAUAUAUAUAUAAUUUACUGAUAAUAAAUAAUAAUUUCACAAAUCCCACACUCAGUUAUAAGACCCUACAGUUUAAAAAACUGUGAAAUGGAAUGAGAGGACCUUCAUUUAAUUCUUGCUUCAGUCAUUUGAACCAGUGUGAAUGUGAGCAAGUCAUCUAAUUUCUCAGAACCCCGACUCCUCAUCCACAAAAUAAAGGCAUGGGCUAGAUAAAUUCUAAGGCUUCUCCUAGCCAGAUCCCGCGGGGCGAGGCGGCGGCCCUGGCCCGGGUGGGCUGGUGUCCGAGUCCCGCGGGCCGAGGCGGCGGCCCUGGCCCGGGUGGGCUGGUGUCCGGGUCCCGCGGGCGAGGCGGCGGCCCUGGCCCGGGUGGGCUGGUGUCCGGGUCCCCGGG